UACGGAGGAUCCAAGCGUUAUCCGGAUUCAUUGGGUUUAAAGGGUGCGUAGGCGGACUGAUAAGUCAGCGGUGAAAUCCCACGGCUCAACUGUGGAACUGCCGUUGAUACUGUUAGUCUUGAGUGCAGAUGAUGUGGGCGGAAUAUGACAUGUAGUGGUGAAAUACUUAGAUAUGUCAUAGAACACCGAUUGCGAAGGCAGCUCGCUACACUAUUAUUGACGCUGAGGCACGAAAGCGUGGGGAUCAAACAGG
rnacentral:rRNA from 1 species